GAAUUACCAGAAGAUGUAUGCAAUGGGGGUUUUGCAAUCAAAGGACCCACUAAAAUCAUUUUCAAGCAAUAGCAAAUCUUCAUCUCCAUCAAUCAUCUCUCUUCUCUCACACAACCUAAGGCUAUACAGACAAAAGAUAUGUCAAGUGGACCCAAUGAAAGACUUCAUAAGAGAAGUUCAUUGUGAUUUGGAGAUGGUAUAUG
rnacentral:misc_RNA from 1 species